rnacentral:tRNA from 1 species
GCGGGCGUAGCUCAGUUGGUAGAGCGCUAGCUUCCCAAGCUGGAUGUCGCCGGUUCGAGUCCGGUCGCCCGCU